UACGUAGGGUGCAAGCGUUGUCCGGAAUUAUUGGGCGUAAAGAGCUCGUAGGCGGUCUGUCGCGUCGCUGUGAAAAACUCGAGCUCAACCUCGAGACGCCGAUGGAAACCCCCCUAACUAGAGUCCGGAAGAGGAGAGUGGAAUUCCUGGUGUAGCGGUGAAAUGCGCAGAUAUCAGGAAGAACACCCGUGGCUAAGGCGGCUCUCUAGUACGGUACUGACGCUGAGACGCGAAAGCGUGGGGAGCGAACAGG
rnacentral:rRNA from 1 species